UUUUGACUUUAUUUCGGCUUUGUUUCAAUGCUAACAUUUUUAUUUCUUUAAUAACACCCAGCUUUAUAUAAAAAUAUUAUUAAAACCGUGAUAACAUUAAUUAUAAUUUUUUUGAUUCCAUUUAUGUAAAUGGUUAUAAAAAAAGACACCUCAAAAAAAAAAUAAAAUAAAAAACAUUAAGUUUUUGAUUUAAAUUUAGUUUUCAAUUUAAAUUAAGUCAUUUUUUUUUUUUUUUUUUUUUAAAUGGAUAAUAAAGAAAAUGAAGAGAAUAGUGAAAAUUCCUUUAACAUUUUAUCUUAUUUUUAUAGUUUUUUAGGACUAGGUAUUUGAUUAUUAUUAAGACAAAUACACAAUAUAUGUUUAUUUUCGAUUAAUAAAUAUUUGAAUGAGCAAUUUUCACUAAUUUAUACUUAUAUAUAUGUAUAUAUUUUUUUUUUUUUUUGAAAUUAAAGAUUCCGGAAAUAAUAAAACAGAUGAAAAUUUGUUGCCUCAAAAUAAGGACGAAGUAAUAAACCAACACACAUAUAAUGUUGAUCAUAUUGCCUACAAUUUAAAAUUAAGUAGAGCAUCAUUUAGGGAUGUACCGACUCGAUUUAGUAUAAACACUAUGGUUGAACAUAUAAAAGAUGUAAAGAUAAACCCAUUAAUAGAAAAAGAUGCCGCCUUUAAAGAAAAUAUAGAAAACUCAAAUAUAUUAUUUGAAAACUCAUUAGGUGGGGAAUCAGAAAAAAAAAAUACUAAUUAUAAUUAUAUACCAACUUUAUAUUCUGAUGGAGAAUUCUAUCAUUUGAAAUUUCCAAGUCAAUCUGAUGAAAGAAAAAAGAAAAAAAAAAACUCACAAAAAAAAGAAAAAAAGAGAAGAAAAAAAAAUAACUGAUCAAAAUGAAAAUGAUAAAAAUGAAAAUGAUAAAAGUGGAAAUGAUCAAAAUGAAAAUGAUAAAAAUGAAAAUGAUAAAAGUGGAAAUGAUAAAAAUGAAAAUGAUAAAAGUGGAAAUGAUCAAAAUGAAAAUGAUCAAAAUGAAAAUGAUAAAAGUGGAAAUGAUCAAAAUGAAAAUGAUAAAAGUGGAAAUGAUCAAAAUGAAAAUGAUAAAAAUAAAAAUGAUAAAAAUAAAAAUGAUGACA
rnacentral:lncRNA from 1 species